rnacentral:rRNA from 1 species
AUACGGAGGGUGCAAGCGUUGUUCGGAUUUAUUGGGUUUAAAGGGUGCGUAGGUGGUUUUUUAAGUCAGUGGUGAAAGCCUACAGCUUAACUGUAGAGGUGCCAUUGAAACUGGGAAACUUGAGUAUGGACGAGGUAGGCGGAAUUUGUGGUGUAGCGGUGAAAUGCAUAGAUACCACAAAGAACACCGAUAGCGAAGGCAGCUUACUAGGCCAUAACUGACACUGAGGCACGAAAGUGUGGGGAGCGAACAGGAUUAGAAACCCCAGUAGUCC